GAAAUGUUUGUUUUCGUUUCUGUCACUAGGCAGCAGGGAACCUGUCGCCUUUGUUCUGGGGGUCAUGCUGCUGGAGAUGGCAAAUAUUGACAUACAUGGAGAUUUCCUGAGAGCUGUGUAUCUUCAGCUCCCAGAAGAUGGCCUCCAUAACUACCAUUGUUGCUGUGAUCAGCAUAUUGAUCUGCAAUGAAACAGCACAACAUCACCUACUUGAAUGUUUCUUUUAUCUUUAGGAUGAAGUCUUGGAGAGCUUAUUUUCAUAGAAAUCUGUUCAGAGACUCAGAAUGCAAAUCAUUAUGCAACUGUACCUUAGUUUCCCUUACCACUGUAAGAACAGCAUGUUUGUUUGUUUUCUGAAGUAAGUGCUGUUUAUCAACCUCCAUCAACUUCCUAGAGUGGCAACAAUUUAAGAAUGUCAGAUGUACCUAUAUAGAGAAUCUAACACUUCAAGAUUAUAAUAGGGGUUUGAAACAGCCUUUGUAUUAGUUAAUUAGAUUGCAUGUAGCAUGGUAAUGAGGUCACAGGGACUCUUUUGAUGACCUUUGUUAUAAAUAGCCAUUAAUUAAUGUAUAAUUAAUCUGCACAUUCAUCAGAGACAUUGCAUUUGAGCUGUACAUGAAAACAAAAUUAGAAAACAUCAUUUUCUAUGAUGUAGAUGAUUGUUGAUUAAAUGGCUACUGUAUCUAGAUGAUUCCCAAAUCAUCAGACUAAUAAACUAUGAAGGUAAUCAGAUAACAAUGAUUUGUACAGUAUUAUAGUUUGCUCUGUGCACGUGUCUGAUGACUACAAGCUAAAUCAUCAAGCAGCUGCUUGAACACAAUGCAGACCCGUCAAGACAUCCUAAAACAGCAUCCCGUGUUUACAAACCCAGGGUCUUACCUCUGCUAAAGUUUGGAUUUCAUGAGGAGGA